rnacentral:rRNA from 1 species
AGUGAACGCUGGCGGCGUGCUUAACACAUGCAAGUCGAACGAGAACGGAAUAUAGCUUGCUAUAUUUGUCAGCUAAGUGGCGCACGGGUGAGUAAUGUAUAGAUAACCUGCCCUUAAGAAAGGAAUAACAGUUGGAAACGACUGCUAAUGCCCUAUAUGCCUUUAAUACAUAAGUAUGCAAGGGAAACGCUUUAGUGCUCAAGGAUGGGUCUGUAUGGUAUCAGCUUGUUGGUGAGGUAAUGGCUCACCAAGGCUAUGACGCCUAACUGGUUUGAGAGGAUGAUCAGUCACACUGGAACUGAGACACGGUCCAGGCUCCUACGGGAGGCAGCAGUGGGGAAUAUUGCACAAUGGACGAAAGUCUGAUGCAGCAACGCCGCGUGGAGGAUGACACAUUUCGGUGCGUAAACUCCUUUUAUAUAGGAAGAUAAUGACGGUACUAUAUGAAUAAGCACCGGCUAACUCCGUGCCAGCCGCCGCUGUAA